rnacentral:rRNA from 1 species
AGAGAUGUGUGAUGACGCAUAUCAAUAAGCGGAGGAAAAGAAACCAACAAGGAUUCCCCUAGUAACGGCGAGUGAAGCGGGAAGAGCUCAAAUUUGAAAUCUUAAAGGGUUUCCCCUUACGAAUUGUAGUUUAAGAAGUGUUUUCUGUUGGAGUUUCGGUAAAAGUUCUUUGGAAUAGGACAUCAUAGAGGGUGAGAAUCCCGUAUUUGACCGUUACUUUCCAGCUGUGUGAUACACUUUCAAAGAGUCGGAUUGUUUGGGAAUGCAGUCCAAAAUGGGUGGUAAAUUUCAUCUAAAGCUAAAUAUUGGCGAGAGACCGAUAGCGAACAAGUACCGUGAGGGAAAGAUGAAAAGAACUUUGAAAAGAGAGUUAAACAGUACGUGAAAUUGUCAAAAGGGAAGCGUUUGACACCAGUGUUGUUUUCUCGAAAAUCAAUUAAAAAUGGCCGGAUUUUGUGUUGUAUUGACUUUAUCAGCUUUCUGCACUUUUUUCUUGUCUUUUUUAAUGCACUUUUCGUUUAACAAGUCAACAUCAAUUUCUUUUGUUGUAAAAGAGUCAUUGGAAGGUGGCUUUCAUUUCGGUGAAAGUGUUUAUAGCCUUUGACUUCUGCAAUCGGAGAGAUUGAGGUCUGCAGCGUAGAUCCUUCGGGGUUAGAUACAUUUGUGCUAAGUUAUAGUUUUUCAUAGACAACAUGUUGACUAUGAUUAAUCAUGUAGCUUACUCGCUUAUGCUAUUUUACCUACGCUUAGGAUGUUGAUCUGUAGUGCGUGCGC